GUGAAUCAUCAAAUUUUUGAACGCAAAUUGCACUCUCUUCGGAGAGUAUGACUGUUUGAGGGUCAGGCUAAAAAAAAUUGAAGUUGUCGCUGUUUCGCGGUGACAUUCGUCGGGCAUUGGGUCAUCUUAAACUUUCGGGCGUUUUAAGCGGCUUAAAUUUUUCUUUAUGUUUUUACGAACGAUUCUAAUAUUUUUCUUUUUAUUUACGUUUU
rnacentral:misc_RNA from 1 species